AUAAUCAGAUCCGGGAUUAUGGAUAGAAAUAUACACAUACUAGUAUAUUUAAACUGUGUUUCACUGUGAAACCAGCGUAUUUCUCGCAGAGGACGAGAAAACCAGAAGAGAAAACUGAGGUAUAAUGAAAGGAUUGCCAGCCAUAAUUUGCCUGCUUGUGGUGGCAGUCGCCACGUGGACGGUGUUGUUUGUUCAAGCUGACGAUCUAUUUGACCAGUGGAUGGAAGACCAUAAGUGUGUUGCAAGACGCGGGGCGGUAUGUCAGCAUGACGGCCUGUAUUGCAGUGGGUAUUACGAGACAGGACUGUGUGGAGGGGGUACACGUCGAAGAUGCUGUAUUCCCGGCUCUGCGGACAGAUUGUGCCUAAGGGAGUGGGGCACAUGCCAGUUCAAAGGAGAAACAUAUUGCCCUUUUCCCUAUGCAACAGGUAUAUGUGGCGGACCACCACGCAGAAUGUGCUGUGUACACCGCCCGAAUCCGGACUAACUGCGCAUGUUCAACCCACUAAGCAACUUAGCGUUGCGCAAUUUCGUGAGUUUCAUUUGAAUUCAAAUUUUAACGCUUUAAAGAAACCAAAGGGUGAAACCUGAAUAUUUCGCUUGAGUAGGAAAUAUUUUUAAGGUCUGAAAUUCUAUAUAAAGGUCUUCCUCCCCAUCACGGCUGUAGAGUUAUGUUUCGGCAAUAAAUUUCAUCUUUGUUUUA